GCCUUCGUGGCAUAGUGGUCAGCACACCGACGUGUAACCGAGAGGUCCGUGGUUCGAUUCCCGGCGAAGGCG
rnacentral:tRNA from 1 species